rnacentral:tRNA from 1 species
GCCUGGCUGGCUCGGUUGGUAGAGCAUGCGACUCUUAAUCUCAGGGUCGUGAGUUUGAGCCCCACAUUGGGUA